rnacentral:lncRNA from 1 species
AGAAGAGAGAAAGCAGAUUGUCCUGAGCCCCAAGUGUCUGUGAUUCUCUUAGCUAAGUAAGGAAUCAGUGCCAGAGACAGAGGUUGCUGGAGCUGAGAGGAGACGUAGUCAAGAAGAUUGGAGAAGGCUCUGCGGAGAAGGUGAACUUGAGCUAAGACUUGAAGGGAGGGCAGGCUUGAAGGGAUGAAACAGCCUCCUCUGUGCUAAAGAGAGGAGUGACAGGGCCAUCAUCAGGCAAAGGGGACAUUACCAGGCAAAGGGACACCAUUGGUCAAAGGCGAUGGUGGAGACAAGACAUUCUGGAAGAGCCCGGAUCAGAGAGAUUUGGGGCCAGGAGCCGGCAUCAGGGGACCGGCUCCCUAAGGAACCAUGGCACCACUGGCUCUCAGCUGGAAAUAAGCAGCAGAUGAAGCACAUGCAUCCUGAGUUUUGGCUCUGGUGAUGGUGGUGGAGCUGUUAAUUCUUGGAGUCCAAAUUCCUGCACCACCUCUGAGUUCCGAGGGGGUGGGGAAGAGCAAGUGAUGGCUGGACAGCAAAGAGGAGUGGAGGCCGGGAGAAUGGGCAGCUAGCCCAGCGCUCUCCAAUAUCUGGGAGUCGACCGCACUCCUGCACUCCCUGUCAUCCCUGCUAAUGCAGGUAUUACCAUUGCUCCAAUCUUACAGAUGAGGAAACUCAGGCAUGGAGAGGUUGAGCGACUUGCCCAAAUUCAUGCAGUUAGGACCUGGCAGAGCUGCGCUUUGAACCCAGGCUGCCUGGCUCUAGAGUGUGUGCACGAAACUUCACUGCCAUAUGAACAAAACUGCAGGACAUAUGUUCUCAAAGCAAAUAAGCCUCCCAGAGAGGCUUUUCCUGAUGGCUUCAAGGACCUGCCCUAGCCUGGUCUGACUUCCCAGAGGGGAUCCAGUCCCAACAUUGGCCCUAUCUUUAGACCACAUUUCCAUCCCAUUCUCAGUGAAAACCCUGAGUCAUGACAGAAGACAACCAAUGCUGGAGAGAGGAGGUUUCAGGUAAUGCCUGUUUUAGGCAUCCUCUCCUUUAAGAAAAAUUUUUAUAUCAAGGCACCUCAACAUAAUAAUACCUUUAUUGCAUAUAGGUAGAAUAUAAAACUGACUUGUAAGACCACUCUGUGUGUGUGUGUGUGUGUGUGUGUGUGUGUGUUCUCUAGCUAGCCUGCAGGGACGGGACUCAGUUCCUCAGCAGCCCAGUGCCUGGCACAACAGGCAUUGAAUUAGAAGUGCCAGACAUUUUCAAACUUUAAGGUAUAAUUUGUUUGGACACUUUGGCUGGGCAUUUUGAUAAAACAUCCCUAGUUAAAAGAUGGCAACCAACAGGCAUCAAACCAAAACCACCCUCAAAGAGCAAAAUAUAAGGCCUUUGUAACAAGAGUCACAGAGUUAUGGCUGGCCGCGGUGGCUCAUGCCUGUAAUCCUAGCACUUCGGGCCGUCUCUAUUAAAAACACAAAAAUUAGCCAGGUGUGGUGCUGCAUGCUUGUAAUCCCAGCUACUUGGGAGGCUGAGGAAGGAGAAUUGCUUGAACCUGGGAGACAGAGGUUGCAGUGAUCGCUCCACGGCACUCCAGCUUCACUGCACUCCAGCCUGGGUGAUGGAGGAAAAAAAAAAAGCAAACUCACCGAGUUACAGAAUCAGCCAUUCUAUGGAGCCAGAAAGAGGCGCCUCAGGGAGAAUCUGUGACUCAAGAACACUUGCUGAGGGUCCCGGGCUUAGGUGCUUUGAACUUCGCUAAGGGCAGUCUUCUAGUUCUCUGUUCUUCCCUUCCAGGAGGACAACAGUCAGAAUACCCCCAAGACGUCCUUCUUUCCCUAAGGUCUCAAAAUCCUUGCCUCAAGAAGUUAUUCCUGAAGUCUAGCUUGAAUUCCUCCAGAUAGAGUUUAAACCAGACAAACAGCCUACGAACAUGUUACAAUAUUCAAAAACUUCUAAUUUAGUCACCAUCACUUGCAAAUAGGGAUAUCUCAUGGAAAUACGAUUUCUGAUUUAUCUUGAAAAGUCAAGAUGAUCUGGCCACAAUGGGCCUGCACUCCUGUGAGGUGGUAUCAUUGGCUUGGGGGUCUCACCAGUGCCACCCUGCAUGGGGGCACCGGGUGACAUGAUGCUCGAUUGAGCUUUCCCUCCAGGCUGGGUAAUCAGAGGCCAGGCCCUGUGUGUCUUCCAGGGGAUGCUGUCCUGAUCCAGGCUGGUGAGGCAAGGAGGGGCUGCGGCUUCCUGAGCUCUCCGAGCUGCUAAUGUGCGUGGGGAAUGCUAAGCAGCCUCCAGGCUCUGACCAGGUUUGUCUUCUAGGACCCACUUGCCCAAUGGGUGCCAGGACACCAGGUCUGGGUCUGGAGAAGAGAAUUCUUCUCCAAGGGAUGUUGAUGGUCCAUUCCGGAAAUGAAAGCUUCCCACGGUCUGCCCUGCACCAGGCUUUCAUCAGUGAGAAAUACCCCGAAUUUACACCCAAACCUAAAAGGAGAAGCGUAGAAGUGUUCUUGGCCCAAUUCUUUUAAUUGCAAGUCCUACUAGCAGGACAACUAAGGGAUUAUCCCUAAACUUUCAUUUAAAAGUCUGGGGAGGGAAGGAAGGAGUAAAAACUUUGGCAGUCAGAUUUUUCUCACUUUCACAUUUAUUCUUUACUAUUAAUGACUUGUUCAUCAUGCUGUACAACAAUUGUGCAAAGAUGCAUACGUUUGCCACUAUAAUUUGCCAUUAAAAUGUAAUAAUCAGUAAGUAUACACGGCGUGCCAGGUGCUAAACAGCAGAUGAGGGGCGAGGUGGGUGAAGGUUCCAUGCCGUGAGUUUGUGGCUAAUGGAACCCCUCAUGCUGCUGCUAUCCUUCCUGGGCCCAGCAGUUGGAUCCUGCAGGGGUGCCCCACUCUCUCGGGGACCUCAGAAAUGUCCUCUAUGGUUAGGGACGGCUAAGGAGGGUGUAUCUGCAGGAUUCCCAGGCACUGGGAGGUGUAUAGAGGUCACAGGACCCAUACAACCACCCCAGACCUUGUCAGAGUGCUCCAGUCUGGCAUCCGCAGAAGGCCAGGGAGGGUCAAGGGGCAGUGCUGAGCCACUGAACACAGCCACAGAGUUGGAGCUGCCAGGCAGAAGGUGCACGGCUCAGCAGAGGAGACCCCUUGAGGCAGCAAUGCUGGGGCCGGAGGGUCAAGGCUGAGGAGAAGGCCACCGCAAUGCCCUGUGUGGCCCUCAUGAGCUGAGGGACCAUGGGAAGGUGGCCUAGCCACUCUGAGCCUCAGUUUCCCCGGGAGAUAAAAACAGAGACAGUAUCUGCAAACUCAACAGGGCAUUAUGGUGAAGAAAUGAGAGGACUCAGGAACAUGUUAGCUGUCACAGCCUUAGCCACUGCCAACUCCAGCCAGGCAGCUGGUCAACAUUGCCGAGCACCAGCCAGGUGACAGGAGGACAGAGGGCUCGGGGGAAACCAAAUCCAUCCCCCCAAACAAAAGAAAAACACAAACAAAAAUAGGCACCAGAGCCGCCGGACGUGUACAAAGACUGUGUACGUUCUGCCUGUGGACAGAGCCCAGGAAGAGCACCCUGGCUCCUGUGCUCCACGCCUGCAGCUCAUCUGGAAGGUUCCCUGUCUAUGGCAGCCAGGUACCCAGGCCAGCCUGCAAAGGCCCAGUAACAGAACUUGUGUCUAAGAUAGAACUUCAUAGCUUUGUGCUGCCAAGCCCACCUGGAGCCCCCUUUAAGCCUUCUUUUGUUUGUUUGUUUGUUUGUUUUGAGACAGGAUCUCAUUCUGUUACUCAGGCUGGAGUGCUGUGGUGCCAGCAUAGCUCACUGCAGCCUCAAACUCCUGGGCACAAGCGAUCCUCCCACCUCAGCCUUCUGAGUAGCAGGGACUGCAGGUGCAUGCCACCCUGCAAAGCUAAUUUUAUUUAUUUUAUUUUUUGUAGAGACGCGGUCUCACUAUGUUGCUCAGGUUGGUCUCGAACUCCUGGGCUCAAGUGAUCCUCUGCCUUGGCCUCCCAAAGUGCCGGGAUUACAGGCAUGAGCCACUGCGCCCCAACCCGUUUAAGCCCUUCUGAGCUUUAAACCUCAUCUGCCUCCACUCUGCGCCCAGCAGUGGGGGAAGGUAGGGAGGGGAAGGUAGAAACAUGUAAAGGAGACAGGGUCAUCGGAGCCAGCUCUGGGUGUGAGCUCACCAUCUUCCACAAGGCCGUUCGUGGAUCCGGCCUGGCGAACUGACCACGGUUCUCCACAGAGUAGGGGCAGGUAAGGGGCUGGGAUGAGGCUCUGACCUCUGCAGCGUGAGGAUGCCAGGGAGGAGGGCAGGCGGGGGGGGCGCCCCUUCCUCUGGUUAUCUGUAGUCCUGGAUGCCUCGUGUAAGUGAGAACACAAUCGGUCCCAGGAGGACUGUCUCUAGAGGAGGCACCAGGGGCCCGGUGGAGGCAGGAGAGGCCGAGGGGAGGCAGGUAGGGAGCAGGCAGGGCUGAGCGGUGCUGCAGCAACAGGCAGGGUCAGGGAGACGCCAAGACUCCCAGUCCCACAACAAGGUACCACAGACCAUAUAGCUCAUAAACAAUAAUUUAUUUCUUGCAAUUCUUUUUCUUUUCUUUUUUUUUUUUUUUAUUGAGACAGAGUCUCAGUCUGCUGCCCAGGCUAGAGUGCAGUGGGGCGAUCUUGGCUCACUGCAACCUCCACCUCCCGGGCUCAAGCAAUUCUUCCACCUCAGCCUCCUGAGUAGCUGGGAUUCCAGGCGCACACCACCAUGGCCAGCUAAUUUUUGUAUUUUAUUUUAGAAGAGACAGGGUUUCACCAUGUUGGCCAGGCUGGUCUCAAAUUCCUGACCUCAAGUGAUCCGCCGGCCUUGGCCUCCCAAAAUGCUGGGAUUACAGGCGUGAGCCACCGCACCCAGCCAAUGUGAGCCAAUUAAACCUCUUUUCUUUAUAAAUGAUCCAGUCUCAGGUAGGUCUUUAUAGUAAUGUGAGAACAGACUAAUACACUAAGAGUCCCUUUGUAACCUUGGAACCCACCUCUGGUUCUACAACCUGCCCUACAGGAAGCUCACUACAGCAGGCAUGUUUCCCCUUUGCUUCACACACCACAAUGGCAGCUUAUCACAGUAGGUGCUCAGCAGUGUGGCUAGGGGCCAGUUGCUGGCUGUGCGCUCUGCUUUAUACACACCACUGCUAUUCCUUACAGCAGCCCUGAAAGAGAGGUGCUAUGAUUCCGAACCAGGCUCAGAGAGGUCCAGCUACUUACCCAAGGUCACACAGCUAGUAGGGGGCAGCCAAGAUCCAACCCCAGCCAGCCCUCCUCCAAAGCCUGGGCCCUUUCCACCACAUCUUACUGGCUCUGCAGAGUGGCAGGAAGAGACAGGUAAAUGCAUCUCAUAUCCAUUUCUUAAGUAAGGCAUAAUAACAAUAAAAUGAUUAAAGCAACAGCUGGGGGAAACGCUUCAGUGGCCAAGAACAGACCAGCCAGGUGCAGGGAGAGAUGACCAAUGACAAGCGCUCUAGCAGUUUUUGUGCUAAUAGUGAGAUGGACUGACUUUGGAAAUGGAAAAGGAAGACAGUGAGAGAGGAAAGGGCCAAAGCAGACAGAAAAAUGAAAGAUGCUGGCUGGGCAUGGUGGCUCAUGCCUGUAAUCCCAGCACUUUGGGAGGCUGAGGCGGGUGGAUCACCUGAGGUCAGGAGUUUGAGACCAGCCUGGCCAACAGAGUGAAACCCCCGUCUCUACUAAUAAUACAAAAAUUAGUCGGGCAUGGUGGUGCGCACCUGUAGUCUUGCUGCUCGGGAGGCCGAGACAUGAGAAUCGCUUGAACCCGGGAGGCGGAGGUUGCAGUGAACUGAGAUCGUGCCACUGCACUCCAGCCUGGGUGACAGCAAGGCUCUGUCUUAAAAAAAAAGAAAAAAAAAAAAAGACGCUGGAAUCCUCCAGGAUCCACAGAGUUCACUUUACGGAUGGACCAAAGGGGCUGGCAGUUCUACAGCCCCUUCCCAUACAGCAUUUGUCAUUGGGAACUGUUCCCUCACCCUGGGCAAGAAAAACCUUAUUAACUUCACUGAUACUUUCCAGCAACAAAUGUCGCUUCUGUUAUUUAGCAUACUGAGGGAAGAGCAAAUGGUCCUCUCAUGGGCAUCAGGAAUGCCCAUGCCCCCUCCAGGAAUUAGUGGAUAUUCUCUAGGAAAAUUUGCAUUAGUUUUUAAGCAGGGGCAAAGAUAAUUCGAAUUCAGCCUGGCUGCUUCAGUGGAAGGAAAUUUACCUGGACUCAGAGCCUUCUUUAAGAGAUGCAUGUUUGCUGUUUUUGCUUUUGUUUUGAUUUAUUUUUCUCCUUGAGGGCAAGUCCUAGUCAUCAGCAUGAGACAACCCUAGCUCUUAUGAGAGGUGACCGACCACUCGACCUUAGCGUUGGUUACUCAGCACAGGCAGAUGCGAACCCUGCAAGGCAGAGCUCGCACUCUGCAAAGCAGAAUGGUUUAUCAAAGACACUGAAGCAAAGACACUGAAGGAGGAGUUGGGCAGGAGGCUGCAGGGAAAGAGUUCUUCUCACUACAGAAGAAAGUGGGAAUGUUCUGGAAAGCUGCUGCUGAGGGGACGCAUGUGUAAAACAGAUCACGUGUUCCCAUGACCGAAGUCUGUCAUCUGACAGGCCAAGUCUUCAUUUCUUGGGAUCUCAAAUAUCGAUGCUUCCUGGCCAGACCUCUCCCAUGAGAUGGCACCUCUGGCCGGGUGAGUCUGAGGGCCCAUCUCCAGGUGGCCCAGACACUGGAGGGAGGUGAUGUGGGGCACAGAAGGGGAUCUGCAGGGGAAGGACACCUGUGCUAGUCCAGCUUUGCCAUGAACCUGCUGUGUGACUCUGGGGAGGUUAACUGUACCUCUCUGGGCUUAGUUACCACAUUUCUCAAGUGGCUCUGGCAUCUGUUAAAAUGCCAAACUCGUGGUCCUUAACACCUUGUGAUGCUGGCACCUCUCUGCAGACUUUUCUCAAUGUAACCUCAGAAGUUGGGGAGGACUGGGGAGAAGGGAGGUCCUGCAGGGAGGAGAAAAGGGAAAGUGGGCAACUCCACUGAAGGCUGUCACACAUUUGGGGGCUGUUCCCGACAGUUUUACCUUCCUCUUUGGGCCCCUCCUUUCUCUUCCCUCUCAGUCCCCUUGUCAGAUGGUUGAUGGGGAUCACUGGGAGUUGGGGUGACUGUCAGGAAGGCAGAGAGGGGGUUUGGGCAGCAGGUGGGAAGUGGGGCCAGGUGGCCUCUCGGGGUUCUCCCACCUCACAGUUCUGGGGAGUUCAGGGUUCUGCAAGCAGAGUGAUCCUUAAUUAAUAAACAGCGGGGCAGGCUCGGGCUCCACGUCAGGAAAACUGCAGUCAGCCACGCUGGGCCACCCGCCCUCUGCAGAGCACACGCAACAGCGCAGUCAUUAAAGCUGAACUGAGCCCUCUCAGGACCAGUGGGAACAUCUCUGAACACUGAAGUUCUGCAUCUGAAAGAGAAACCUAGGAAUGCCUUGCUGCUUCUCUGGGUGUAGAGACGGCCCCCAAAGAGCAGGGCCCUGGGGCUGCGCUCUCAGUCCCUCCGGGAAUGUGGGGAUGAGCUGAAAAGCGGGAAUUCUGGAGGAACCGGAGACCACCAUGGUGGGCUGACUGGGACAGGACUGUGGGCAGGGUGUGAAUCCGCCCACGGAAGUUACUCCAGGGGAGACCUCCCUUUCAAACCAGCAGUGCCACCUGGCCCAGAGUGGCUGGGAGGAUGAAAUGUGGUCAUCUGGGUGAAAGCACUAAGAGAAAAGAGAGUGUUCUGGUUGUUUUUGAUAUAAAAGGAUUUGGCAUCAAGAUCGUCAAAUGACAUCAGUCAGCCUCACCUCAGGGAACAUGUCCACCGAGGUCUCAUUGGAAAUGCAGGGAACAGGGUGGCUCAUGGGCUAGUCUGGGUUGUCACAGACUAUGACAAGGAGUAGAUACUUCAGCACACUAGCCCACCUCCCUUCUCCUCCUACCCACCCCCUCUGACUCCAGGAGAGCCCUCUAAAGUGCUGUGUUCAGUUACAUGCCUUAUAUAUGCUGAACACACACACACUCACACAUGCUCACAGACACAAUGCACACACACGCUCACACGCCACACACAUGCACCACACACACAACACACAUGCUCACACACACCACACACAGACACAUCACACACACAUGCUCACACACCACACACAUAUCACAACACACCACACAUGCUCAAACAUACACACUCACACAUGCUUACACACCACACACACAUCACAUGCCCACACACAUGCUCAUGCACACACCAUACACAACUCACACACCACACACACCUCACGUCACACAUACACACCACAUACUUCACACACACACUACACACACAGACUCACACACGCUCACACAGCACACACCCCCACACCACACACAUACACACUCAUGCUUACACACCACACACACUCACCCCCAUCCCCCCACACUUUGCGCGCACACACACGCACUCCAGUCUCUAACAUGACAGGGUUAGGCCAGAUCAGAGCUUUUGUGACCAGGGACAUUCGUCAUGCCUGCCAGCAUCACUUGAGGAGCCUUUUAAAAGAACCCUUCUUCCGGAUAUUUUCAUCCUUUCCAAGUGUGCUGAUGCCUGAGCGUAUACAUGCAUUUAAUCUUUUUUAAAAAGCAAUUGGCUGGGCAGGGUGACUCACGUUUUAAUCUCAGCCCUUUGGGAGGCUGAGGCAGGAGGAUUGCUUGAGUCCAGGAGCUUGAGACCAGCCUGGGCAACAUAGAAAAACUCCAUCUUGAUUAAAAAAAAUAGCUGGGCACGGUGGUAUGCGUGCCUAUAGUCCCAGCUACUCAGGAGGCUGAGGUGGGAGGAUUGCUUGAGCCUGGGAGGUUCAGGCUGCAGUGAACCAUGAUUGUACCACUGCACUCCUGCCUGGGCAACAGAGAGAGACCCUGUCUCAAAAAAAAAAAAAAAGGUAAAAAGUAACAUUUAAGCAUGGUAAUACAAAAUUAAUAGUAGAGAAAUGGAAAUGACAUCUCCCUUCACCCAGUUUCUCCCCACCAGAGGCCACCACUGAAACUGCAUUCUCAUUCUUCCUUCCAGAGUUAGGCUAUGUCUGUGUGGACUCUGUUGCAUGCGCUGGCCUUCCUUGCACGCAGAGGACAGUACACAGUACCUGCCUUGUUCCUCACUGCUUUUCUCACUGACCCACAGGAUCUGAGGGGCACCCGCAGCAGUGCAGACGGACCGCUCCAUUCCGUCAGAGGCCACACUUAUUUCACCAGUUCCAUCCUGAUGUUUUCCAGACUUCUACAUAACAGAUGAUUCACCAGUGUGUCCCCCCAUGGAUGCCUCUGCUCACAUAGAAAGGGUUAAUUCUUGGAAGCUGAGGUGCUGUCAAAGGGCAUCUGACAGAUCAGCCGCCCUCUGCUCCAGGGGUGUGGUCUUCCUCUCCGACCCAUGAUGCGUGGCAGCCUGGCUGCCCACACCCUCAGAUCCCUGAGCAGCAGUGUCUCGCUGUGGUUUUAUCAGCAGUCUUUUUAAAUUAAUUUUUUUUUUUCUGUCACUUGCCUGGAUGGAAUCAGCAGUCUUUUUAUUAUGAGGGAGAUCAAGCACCUUUUCAUGUUAAAUCCCUCCUCCUUUUUUUAUCCUUUUCCUGUGAGCUACCUGUUUUUCUCUUUUAUCAGGCCUGGAUAUUUUGGGGCAAUGCUGGGCUGUCCUAGUACUCCCUGCCUGUUCCAGUUGAUCCAGGCUCCUUAAAGCUCCAACAGUGUGGAUUCUGUGAGCAUCAUGAAAGCCCAAGGGUGGUGGUCUCUCCAGGUGUCAGAGAGCCAAUGGUGAGUGAGAGAACCCCCCGGCCAGGGCAGCAGAGAAGCCUCAUGCCCACCAGUGCCAAUAGCCUGGCAUGGGAGCAGCCCUCUUUGUACAGGAAAAUGGGCCACAUUUGUCUUUAACAUUUGCUUCUUGUCCAAAGCAUUUUAGAGUGUGAUGGACAUGAAAUGAUGGAGACAGUGUGUAUCUACUUCCCUUGAAAGCUCCUCCAGCGAAUCCAGAGCCAGCAUCUUCCUGUAGCAUCUGCCCCUCCCUCCCUUUCAGGCCUGUGGUAACAUCUCCUCCUGCAGAACCUGGGCCCUGCUAUCCUGCUAUCAAAGGGUGGAGAGCCUGAUGGUCUGUGAAAUUCCCAGGGAAGGUUCAGGUAUCAGAAAUGCACUGAAGAACCACCUGAGCUCACUCUGUUAAUGGCGAUAUUUCACGUGAUUUAUCUGGAAGGGUUGGUAACUGAUAUGGUAACAAAUCUCAUCUUGAAUUCCCACAUGUUGUGGGAGGGAUCUGGUGGGAAGUAACUGAAUCAUGGGGGCAGGUCUUUUCUGUGCUGUUCUCUUGAUAGUGAAUAAGUCUAACGAGAUCUGAUGGUUUUAAAAAGAGGAGUUCCCCUGCACAAGCUCUCUCUCCCUGUCUGUCUGCUGCCAUCCAUGUAAGAUGUGGCUUGCUCCUCCUUGCCUUCUGCCAUGAUUGUGAGGCUUCCCCAGCCACUUGGAACUAUCCCUGGAAAUGUGGGUGCAUAUGAGGCUCCCUCUGCCUCCUCCCACAGCCAUAUGAGCUGCCGCCUCCUAGGAGAACCUGGCAGGGCUGGCAGCACCCCCAGCUCCCCAGUUCAGCCCAGAAGGGGGCUGCCUGGACUCCAAGAUUUCUCCCUUCACCCGCGGCUGCCUCCUGCCCCCAUGACUACAGUGUGGGAACAGAGUGCAGCCGCCACUGGCCUUUUCUCAGGCACAGUUGAGAUGCUAAGAAGGGAGGAACUUCACCACUAAAGGAAGAACUGAACCCGGUGGAGAGAAGCCCAGGAGGCAAGUUAUCCCUAUAGGAUUAUCCAGGAAAAAUAUUAAAUAGGUUUUAAUAAGGUUCAGGUGAGUUUAUGAAUGAUCACUUCAUUAUUCAAGCGGAUUUAGGGAUGUUCUGCAAAAUCCUCCGUUUCUAAGCUGGCCUCAUGGGGACCAGCAGCAGAGGCAGAGGCUGAGCCGCUGCACUGGGGAUUGGGGCCAGCGUGGAAUUUCCCCUGCUCAUAGGGAAAAGACAAGACAGAAAACGGAUGGUGGGAGGGCUGAUGACUCUUCCAAAUGGCUAUUCCUGAUGUUUCCUGGCAAUGAGCAGCUAUGAAAGGGACAGGUUCACAUGCGACUACACCAUGACUUUUGCUGUGCCCCAGUGUAACAGGAGGUUAUAGACAACAGUUUUAUUUGCAUAUAUAACCUUUGCUUGGCUUAUUAACAUAUUGCUGAUUUAAAUUCUGAUACAUUGUCAAAGUAGAAAGCUGUUCGGGUUUUUGGCAAGCCCAGUAUAAAAAAUGCAGGCAUGCAACAAAUAGGUAGUGAAUAUUCACAUUUAAAUACAUGUAAAUAUAAAUAGAAUUAAAAAAAAAAAGUUUAGAGACAGGGCCUUGCUGUGUUACCCAGGCUGGAGUGCUAUGGGACAAUCAUAGCUCACUGUAGCCUUGAACUCCUGGGCUCAAGCGAUCCUCCUGCUUCGGCCUCCCAAGUAGCUAGGGCUACAGACACAUGCCAUCAUGCCCAGCUAAUUUUUACAGUUUCCUUUUGUAGAGACAGGAUCUUGUUUUGUUGCCCAGGCUAGUCUCAGACUCCUGGCUUCAAGUGAUCCUCCCACAGUGCUGGGAUUACAAGUGUGAGCCACCGAGCCUGGCCUCAUU